AUAAAAAGGAGAAAAAAAAUGGCUGGAACACUAAAGUGUGUUUAUAUUAUGAUCCUUAUUUAUUCCCUAUGUUUUCUUGUUGCUGGCGGAAUAAAGUUUAAUGGUGAAUGUAGAAAUAUUAACGACUGUUAUAGAAAAUAUACAUUAGUUCCUUAUGGAUAUAUGAGGUGCAUUAGAGGUUAUUGUAAACUCCAAAGAGAUGUCAAGUUUCUAUAGGUUGUAUUUAGUGUCAAGGAAUGGAAGGAGAUACCUUAUAUGAAGACUCUAUUUCAUGUCUUUUAUAUUUGGGGAUGUGGUCAUCUCUAAUAGGUAACAUUGCGUUGGGAUAAAAGGAUUAUAUUUUAACUUUUUACUUGUAAUCAAACUUGUGAACUUUAGGUUUUAAAUGUUAGGCGUUGAAAAGAAUCAUGUAUCUUAAAUGUUAAACUUUUUAGUUUUUAAAGGUUGAGACCUCAUAUACGAAUAAUGUAUUUUGAGUUGUGAUAUCCUUUACCUCAUGAAAAAGAAUGUUUAAACUCGUACUUUAUCCA